rnacentral:misc_RNA from 1 species
AAUUCUCAACUUCAAAGGCUUUGUCUUUUGAAGCUUGGAUGUGAAGGUUUGCUGGCGUUUUAAAUGUUCAGCUCCUUUGAAAUAUAUUAGUGGACCCAUUUGUGUUCAGCCUUAGUGUGAUAAUUAUCUACGCUAUGGUUUUGAAUACUGGCUCAUUAGAUCUUCGAGGUGUUUUAUACAUUCUCGGUAUGGGGAGUUGCAUGAACUUGCUCUUUCUGUCUAUUGAGUUUGGCUUGUCUGCUUUCUAACUGUCUACUUUGUGGACAAUUUGAACC